rnacentral:rRNA from 1 species
GAUGAACGCUAGCGGCAGGCCUAAUACAUGCAAGUCGAGGGGCAGCACAGGUAGCAAUACUGGGUGGCGACCGGCAAACGGGUGCGGAACACGUACGCAACCUUCCUUCAAGCGGGGAAUAGCCCAGAGAAAUUUGGAUUAAUACCCCAUAAGAAUGUGGAUUGGCAUCAAUCAGCAUUUAAAGAUUCAUCACUUGAAGAUGGGCGUGCGUCUGAUUAGGUAGUUGGUGAGGUAACGGCUCACCAAGCCGACGAUCAGUAACUGGCGUGAGAGCGCGACCAGUCACACGGGCACUGAGACACGGGCCCGACUCCUACGGGAGGCAGCAGUAAGGAAUAUUGGUCAAUGGACGCAAGUCUGAACCAGCCAUGCCGCGUGGAGGAUGAAGGCCCUCUGGGUUGUAAACUUCUUUUAUU